CCCUGGGAAGUACGUNCNCCAAGUUUGAAACUUAAANGNANUGGGNGGGGAGCCCCNCAAGGGGUGAAGCNUGCGGUUCAAUUGGAGUCAACGCCAGAAAUNUUACCCGGAGAGACAGCAGAAUGAAGUCAAGCUGAAGACUUUACCAGGCAAGCUGAGAGGUGGUGCAUGGCCGUCGCCAGCUCGUGCCGUGAGAUGUCCUGUUAAGUCAGGUAACGAGCGAGAUCCCUGCCUCUAGUUGCCACCAUUACUCUCAGGAGUAGUGGGGCGAAUUAGCGGGACCGCCGCAGUUAAUGCGGAGGAAGGAAGGGGCCACGGCAGGUCAGUAUGCCCCGAAACUCUGGGGCCACACGCGGGCUGCAAUGGUAGCGACAAUUGGUUUCGAAUCCGAAAGGAUGAGGUAAUCCACAAACGCUACCACAGUUAUGACUGAGGGCUGCAACUCGCCCUCACGAAUAUGGAAUCCCUAGUAACUGCGUGUCAUUAUCGCGCGGUGAAUACGUCCCUGCUCCUUGCACACACCGCCCGUCGUUUCAUUGAAGUGAGCUUUUAGCGAGGUGACGUCUAAUUGGCGUUAUCGAACUUGAGGUUCGUGACAAGGGAAAAGUCGUAACAAGGUAACC
rnacentral:rRNA from 1 species